rnacentral:misc_RNA from 1 species
GCGACCGAGAAGAGAGAGAAACUCAACUUGAAAU